UAUUGACCCAAUUCUCCACCACCGCAUCGGAAACCGAGUCAUUCACCGUGACUCGCUUGAUCCAACCAUCUGCGCAAGUCGUGUAAAUGACUCCCGACUUGCUGUCAUACGCUAUAUCUUCUGGUCCCUGCAAAAGCCCAACGCCCAGAAAUUCUGAUCCUUGAAGGAGGCGACCAUUUUUCAUCGACGGCUCCGGCAAGUGGUGAGUCAACUCAUGGUUAGGGAAAGGAGCAGGGUCGAAGGAGUCGAGGUGGAAA
rnacentral:misc_RNA from 1 species